CGACCUCAGUUCAGGUGAGAUUACCGGCUGAAUUUAAGCAUAUUACUAAGCCGAGGAAAAGAAACUAACAAGGAUUCCCCUAGUAGCAGCGAGCGAACAGGGAAGAGCCCAGCGCUGAAUCCCCCGGGCCUCGCUCGGCGGGAAAUGUAGCGUUUGGGAGGGCCCGUCAACACGGCGACUCGCUCACUGGUUCAAGUCCAACUUGAAUGGGGCCACACAGAGGGUGACAGGCCCGUAGAGCAGGAGCGGUUGUCGUGUGGGUCUCUCCUUAGAGUCGGUUUGCUUGAGAGUGCAGACUUAAGUGGGUGGUAAACUCCAUCUAAGGCUAAAUAUGACCACGAGACCGAUAGCACACAAGUACCGUGAGGGAAAGGUGAAAAGAACUUUGAAGAGAGAGUUCAAGAGUACGUGAAACUGAAGUGGUGUAAACGGACGAGUUCGAAAAGUCCGAAUGGUGAGAUUCAAGCUUACCGUGCCGGUGGCCCUCGGGUUCAGAUGGCGUCGUCAGCUCGGGCUUCGGUUCGGGUCAUACGGCGUCACUCGUCCUGGGGGUAUCUGUCUGGUGCGGUGGGCUGCACUUCUCGCCUAGUAGGACGUCGCGACCCGUUGGGAUGUUCCGUUCACUGGCCCCUGGUGGAGCCCGCGCCGGAGCGUGGCCUUGUGCCGCGUUGCUGUUUGCACGGACCCGGGGUGACCUGAUCGGCGCCCGACGGUAUCAAAGCUUGGGAAGAGGCCGCACAGAGGAUGCGUUCGAUGGCCGUUUCGGCCUACACUCGGACAGGCCUGCACCCGGUCAGCGGCGCUUCUGCUUUCGAUACUCGUCCGACCCGUCUUGAAACACGGACCAAGGAGUCUGACAUGCGUGCGAG
rnacentral:ncRNA from 1 species